rnacentral:tRNA from 1 species
GCACUCGUCGUUCAACGGAUAGGACACAAGUUUGCGGAACUUGCAAUUGAGGUUCGAUUCCUCACGAGUGCA